GUUACUUAACGUAUAUGGUGGAUGCCUUGACUGAAAUAAGCGAUGAAGGACGCAGCUGGCUGCGAUAAUCCUCGGGGAGCUGUUAAGCAAGCUUUGAUCCGGGGGCCUCCGAAUGGGGCAACCCUUCCAGUUUUUACUGGAAACCGUAAACUGAAUUCAUAGGUUUACGGAGCGAACCCUGGGAAUUGAAACAUCUUAGUACCAGGAGGAAUAGAAAACAAUAUGUGAUUCCCCAAGUAGUGGCGAGCGAACGGGGAAAAGUCUAAACCCAGCCUUCGGGCUGUGGGGUUGCGAGGUAAUUGGACUCUGUUGACAGGGGUCAGAUGUAAAUCAUUAGCAAAAUACUCUGGAAAGUGUAACCACAGCGGGUAAUAGUCCCGUAUGCGAAAAUCAUUUACAUCAGAUGCAAUUAUCCUCAAGUAAGGCGGGACCAGAGAAAUCCUGUCUGAAUCUGGGAGUACUACUCUUCCAAGACUAAAUAUUAUUUCAGAUCGAUAGCGAACUAGUACCGUGAGGGAAAGGUGAAAAGCAUCCCGAUGAGGGAGGUGAAAUAGAACUGAAACCAUAUACUAACGUAGAGUUGGAGCGGUUGCUUGCAACCGUGACAGCGUGCUUUUUGCAGAACGAGCCAACGAGUUAAUUUUACGCGGCUUGCCUAAGGAGCUAACACUCCGGAGGCGUAGUGAAAGCGAGCCUGAAUAGGGCGUUCGUCGCGUGGAUUAGACCCGAAGCCGGGCGAGCUACAUAUGAGCAGGGUGAACCUUGGGUAAUACCAAGGGGAGGCCCGAACCCACGAGCCGUGCAACACUCGGGGAUGACUUGUGUGUAGGGGAGAAAUUCCAAUCGAGCUCGGCAAUAGCUGGUUCUCUCCGAAAUAGCUUGAGGGCUAGCGUCAUGACAUUACAUCCAAGAGGUAGAGCUACUGGAUGAGAAUUCGCGGUUCGCCGUAGGGUUUUCAACCAAACUCCGAAUUCUUGACGAUGCGUACCAUGGCAGUCAGAAUUCCGGCGCUAAGGUCGGAACUCAAAAGGGAAACAGCCCAGAUCGUCGUCUAAGGUCCCCAAAUCUAUACUAAGUGGAAAAGGAAGUGAAGUUUCUUAAACAUCUAGGAGGUUGGCUUAGAAGCAGCCAUCCUUUAAAGAGUGCGUAACAGCUCACUAGACUAGAGACUUUGCGCCGAAAAUGUACCGGGGCUAAGUAUAGUACCGAAGACACGGNNNNNNNNNNNNNNNNNNACACACCGUAAGUCUAAGGUUUCCUGGGCAAUGUUGAUCAUCCCAGGGUUAGUCGGUCCUAAGGCGAGGCUGAAAAGCGUAGUCGAUGGACAGCAGGUUAAUAUUCCUGCACUAUAAUAUUAUUCGAUGGAGUGACGUAUNNNNNNNNNUAUCCGUACCAAAAACCGACACAGGUAGACGAGGCGAGUAGCCUAAGGUGAACGGGAGAACCUUCGUUAAGGAACUCGGCAAAAAAACUAGACGUAAGUUCGCGAAAUGUCUUUCCUGCUCGCAAGAGUAGGACGCAGUGAAAAUUUCCCAAGCGACUGUUUACCAAAAACACAGGUCUCUGCAAACCCGUAAGGGGAAGUAUAGGGGCUGACACCUGACCAGUGCUGGAACGUUAAGGGGGGUGGUGCAAGCUAUUCCUUGAAGCGCCAGUGAACGUCGGCGAUAACUAUAAACACGAUUGUAGUUGUAAAAUUUGGCCAAAUGCUGGAAAACCCGGAGUAAAAAAUGUACUCGUCCAAAUUAAUGGGCAGUGAAAAUCAUUUUUUGUAUCGUAAGGAACGAUGCCGGACAAUCAGCAGGAAAGGCUCUAGAAAAUAAUUAUAUGAGCGAUCAACAAUGGUUGAAUAAGAUUCCUUUGGAAUGGGGAAAUUAUUUGGCAGGAUUCACAGAUGGAGAAGGAAGCUUCAAUGUUUCUCUUCGCAAAAGAGAAGAUCAUCUGAUGCAAUGGCAAGUAGUCCUGACAUUUAAUGUUUCUCAAAAAGAAUCUUAUAUUCUUUCACAACUAAAAAAACAUUUAGGAUGUGGAAGAAUACAACAAAGAAAAGAUGGACUUCAUAUGUAUGUUUGCUCAAAUCCUUUGUCAAUUCAAGAAAAAGUUAUUCCGUUUUUUCGGAAAUUCAAUUUUCGUUCUCAGACAAAGAAGAAAAAUUUUUCUGUUUUCUCUCAAAUUGCUGAAAAAGUUUUCAACAAAGAACAUUUGACACCUCAAGGUUUGCAAGAAAUUGUUGAACUUAGAGAAAUGUUGAAUGAGGGAGCUGGUAGAAAAAGAAAAUAUGAGCUUUGUGAUUUUGAAAAAUCACAACAAGAGAAUCCUCAGAGACUAUACGCCAAACCACGAAAGUUUAGAAAAGAAUUUUCGUCGGAUGAUAUAGUCCGAUCUCAUGGGCAACUAUGAGCUUCAGAUGAAUUUCAAUCUGAAGAUUUCAAAAAUUUAAUUUUUGAAAGUAACAUAAAGAAUCGUCCUAAGGUAGCGAAAUUCCUUGUAGGGUAAGUUCCGACCUGCACGAAUGGCAUAACGAGUUGUGGACUCUCUCAACGAAGGACUCGGUGAAAUUGCAAGAUGAGUGAAGAUGCUCAUUACUCGUGGUUAGACGAAAAGACC
rnacentral:rRNA from 1 species